UAACAUUUUAACCACAUCAUCAUGAACUUUAUCACAUCUUGAGUACACAGACUGUAUCAGCCUCAGUAGACAAUGAAGCCCUAUAACUUUUCAGCAGUGCCAUUAGGUUCAAGAACAAGGCUAAAAUUCCACAAAUGAGACAUGAAAGCACACUGAAAGCUCAAUGCACACCACUCAAAUGAACAUUGAUUUUUUUUUUAAGUACAUCUUUAAAAAUUAUAAAUAAACCCCCUCUCUAAUCUCAGCAGACAUCUUUUCACGGAUUUUCUUGCAUGAAAAAGGUGUAAGUAAAGACUAUGCAGUGAUAAAUUAAGAUUUCAACUACACUUUUCAUUUUGCUAUGAGUUGGGUUUGGUAUGUGAAGUGACACCCGUGCCAAAACUACUUACUUUACUCCCUAAAUUUCCCAAAACCAGAUUCCAAGUAGCAUGAUAUUCUGCUGUCUCCUGUGGUGAUCUCUUCAACAAAUAUGACUAUGAUUAAAUGCAUCAAAGAGUAAUGACUGAGUAAAAUAUGAAGCAGUUGAGAACGAUCCUGAUGUUUACUAUUUUAAAUGCAGCUGGUUAAAAGCAGUUCAUUCAUUGACAUGAAUGCUGAUGCAGGAUUAUGACUAAUUUAAGACUGACAGAAUUUCAACAAUAAGUGGGUAUGAAUGACUGCAAAUGUAAUAAAAAGUUUAUAUAGAAAACAUUUCCAAAAGCACUUAACUGUAUCAUUACACAAUAUUAGAAUAAAUAAAACACACCUUUUUUCAUUACAGGUGAUCUACUCAAAAGCAUUGAACUGACUAGAACCACGCAGACGAUCAUAAAAACUUUAUCCAGAAAUUUAGUAAAACUACUAAGAAGCACCAGAUGCUACAAAAUUCACUAGCUCUCUACUUGACCACUGCAAGGACUAUGGCUAUGCACCACAAGCAGUUUUCAAGGGAAGAUUGAGAAAAUAGAAGAUGGUUUCCUAGCAGAUGGCUGCGUAUGUGAAAUGGAUGGAACCAAAGAAAUGCAUCUGGAACCCAAAGUUUAUAAAUGGACUCCACUUCAAAAGGGAUUCUGCACCUGGCGUAAGGACUCACUACACAUUUCACUCACAAACAUGGUACAAACAACUCCACUGUCAGACAAAACACAGUUUGAGAAGCACAAAUCUGUGUUAUUCCCCAUGGACACCCAGUACUUGCAACUCCAGGCAAAGC